rnacentral:rRNA from 1 species
AUUGAACGCUGGCGGCAGGCCUAACACAUGCAAGUCGGACGGUAGCACAGAGAGCUUGCUCUCGGGUGACGAGUGGCGGACGGGUGAGUAAUGUCUGGGGAUCUGCCCGAUAGAGGGGGAUAACCACUGGAAACGGUGGCUAAUACCGCAUAACGUCGCAAGACCAAAGAGGGGGACCUUCGGGCCUCUCACUAUCGGAUGAACCCAGAUGGGAUUAGCUAGUAGGCGGGGUAACGGCCCACCUAGGCGACGAUCCCUAGCUGGUCUGAGAGGAUGACCAGGCAGACUGGAACUGAGGAACGGUCCAGACUCCUACGGGAGGCAGCAGUGGGGAAUAUUGCACAAUGGGCGCAAGCCUGACGCAGCCAUGCCGCGUGUAUGAAGAAGGCCUUCGGGUUGUAAAGUACUUUCAGCGGGGAGGAAGGCGAUGUGGUUAAUAACCGCAUUGAUUGACGUUACCCGCAGAAGAAGCACCGGCUAACUCCGUGCCAGCAGCCGCGGUAA